UUCAACAACAAACGCCGCGAGUGAUCGUUGUGGUCUCGGGAUUCCUCUUUUAUACGCCAAACAGGUGAGCUACAGUUCCCAGUUCUCGUUAAAUUUCACGCCAACACGCCACAGCUCAUCAUAGUGCCCACUGCCCAACAUAACAUCCACCAGUCCAAGCAGAAACCCCGCAUGCAGAAUGGAAGCGGAAAGGGCCGGGAAAAUGUCCGCCACCACCCCGCUGCCUCGCCUCCGACAACACCAAAUACCAGGAUCAAGUGUUUUCUCACUACUACAUACCCUCCUGCUGCUUGUGCUCGUGUCCUUCCCGUCACAUGACCCCCUCCAAUUCCUCCCAUUCCUUUCGCCUACAGGGCAUAAUGUUUCUGAAUGCUCGUCGAUGUUAGAUGGCGCCACUUACAACCAUUCAAAUUUCACCGAGGCGCCUUUGUUCUGGACUCUCCCUGUAGUCUCCCUGGUUGAAGGCGUGAAGUCUACAUCAUGAGGACGUCUGAGAAAGGCAAUGUACAGAGCGGGCAGACACGAGGAGAGCGGCCCUUGCGGGAGGUCGUGAGCGCUGCGUCGUCUGGCUGUUUUCCUAAGAUUGGGGUAGGCGUUGGCUGAGUGGUAGCGUGCUGGGCCCACAUUCCCCACGUGAUGGACGACGCGAGCUCGAAUUCCCACGCUACCACCUGGGAUUUUUAAGUCACCGCCGAGUAGCUCAAAACUACCCACAUGCUGUCCUGAAGACCAUCCAUCAACCCGGACUCUAAAGGAAACCGUCCAAGUGAAUCAAGAACGAGUUCCGGGGGGCAGCAUGAGCCAAGAGAAGAUGGCGCCACUAUAAACACUUGCCUGCGCCAUGACGGGCUGGGGCCGACUACCAGCUAGGCCCCUCAAGCAAGCCUACCGGCGCUAUAGGUGUAGACGUAAAAAAAAAAAAAAAAAAAAAAAGACUUGGGCUCACGUUUCCCUACGCUCUUUUAUUCUUUCCUGGAGUCAAUUCUUCGCUUAUUCAUAUAUUUUUUCAGCCUCCUCCGUGUGGGCGCGUUUAAUCCCUUUAAGAGGAUUACCGAAAUAACCACCACAAACUGUUUAUAACUUUUCUCUUUUGUCCUUAAAUUAAAAUGAAAAAAGGAGUUUAUCGCCUAAAAAGCAAAGGGAAAAUAAUAUUGGCUUAUAAAUCAUUAGAAAACUCAAUCUUAAAUCAAUCUUAAAGCUUUUGUUAAUACUGAAUGAUAUUAGAACUUAGCCAAAGUAUAAAUGAAACCGUUGGGUCGCAAAUAUUUAGUUACUUGUUAUGGGUGUAUAUAUAUUAUGCACAUCACAGCAAACUUCUUAAAGAAUAUAUCUCCUUUACAGCUAAUGGUAAAUCUCUUCAUUGUUCCGUUGUUAUGCAAUGUUAAAUAAAGCUCAUCAUUAGAGGAAGCAAGAAAACGAAUACUAUUUUUAUUAUAUCCGCUGGCUUUUUUAACUUUAUGCUAACCUAUGCAUAUUACAGUAAAACCGACUUAUUAUUAGAAAGCCACCCGCGUAUAGAAAACCAUAACUUUAUUUUUAAUGCUAAGAAACUCGCCUCCGAAAAGAGUGAGCAAGGUAGAAACAUUACCCCUUAAUUAAGUAUCUAGUAAUUGCUUUUGCCUUGUCAAACUUUAGCUAAUCAAAACUAAAUUACUAGUACCGAACUACCUAAACGACUAACCAUAAUUUAAGAAUGAUAUGAGUCCUUGAUUAAAGAUGGAA